AGUGAGCGCUGGCGGUAGGCCUAACACACGCAAGUCGAACGGCAGCACAGUAAGAGCUUGCUCUUACGGGUGGCGAGUGGCGGACGGGUGAGGAAUACAUCGGAAUCUACUUUUUCGUGGGGGAUAACGUAGGGAAACUUACGCUAAUACCGCAUACGACCUACGGGUGAAAGCAGGGGAUCUUCGGACCUUGCGCGAUUGAAUGAGCCGAUGUCGGAUUAGCUAGUUGGCGGGGUAAAGGCCCACCAAGGCGACGAUCCGUAGCUGGUCUGAGAGGAUGAUCAGCCACACUGGAACUGAGACACGGUCCAGACUCCUACGGGAGGCAGCAGUGGGGAAUAUUGGACAAUGGGCGCAAGCCUGAUCCAGCCAUACCGCGUGGGUGAAGAAGGCCUUCGGGUUGUAAAGCCCUUUUGUUGGGAAAGAAAAGCAGCAGGUUAAUACCCCGCUGUUCUGACGGUACCCAAAGAAUAAGCACCGGCUAACUUCGUG
rnacentral:rRNA from 1 species